AAAUGGGCCUCUGAUACAAAGACUUGU
rnacentral:piRNA from 1 species